rnacentral:rRNA from 1 species
AUGGAUUGUUACGCAGAUGUCUUAACAGCAGAAGCGUUGGCUCUAAGAUCUGGCUUAUCACUUGCACAGAGGGCGGGAUGUAAUCGUCUUGUUGUUGACUCCGACAAUGUGGAAGUAGUUGACACUGUGAAUAAUGGAGGACAUUCAGUGGGAGUGGCGGCGGCAGUUUUUGAUGAUUGUUAUUUUAUGGUGUGCGAUUUUCUGCGUAUUAGUUUUGAGCAUUGUAAUAGGAAAGCAAAUAAAGUUGCUCACGAACUUGCUAGAUUAGAUAGAUUUUCUGUGACUAGAGAUUGUUUUGAGGAACCUAUGGAUGAGAUUGUAACUUUUCUUAUUAACGAUAAAAUUGUUAUUUCCAAUGAAUAA